GCAGGUGUGAGAGUGUGAACAGACUGCCCUGGAGGGGGAUAGACGGUGACCCCAAACCGUGAAUCUCUUGGCCUCUUCAGCCGGAUCCUGUUCCGAGUGCUCGCGCCCGCAGACAGCCCGGAGAGUGGCCCCACGUCAGCCCUCAUCAGCUUUAUUUGAAAAGCUUCCUCUCCUUAAUGAGAGGGAGGUUUGCCUAAACCUCAUAGCGAGCCGACGGGUCCAGGUGCAGCUGAGGUGCAGCUCCGGUGGCGCGUUCGGUGGCCGCCGCUCGCCGAGGUUCGCCAGGAUUCGAAAGGGAGCUCGCAGCGGCCGGCCAGAUGAGGACGGCGGAGGACGAGGACCAAAGAGCAUGCGUCAGCCCUGUCUCUCCAACCCCCCCAUGCAGUGGAGAUCAAAACUUUGUCCUGUGGCACAUUGUCUUGCUCAUCAUCGCGCUCCAGUACAACACCUGCAAAACUGCAGAUGCUUAUUACUCCACCUCGAGCUCCAAGGUACCGACUCUCGCCGCAGCUGUUUCACAGUGGGCUGCGAACUGCUCCAGUGCAUGCUGAAACUAAUGAAUGUUGAUGUAAUGAAGCCAACGGAACCAAGUCGUCUGCACAACUGCUCUUUUUUUUAAGAAUGCAGCAACAACGGCUUGCAACCAACCAACAACUGCAGAUUCCACCUCUCUUUUCUUACUCACGUGCAGUAACCAGUGCGUUUCCUUCGCUCUGGGGACUGAAGGGCUCAUUAACCCUUCCUGCACACAUUUCUGUUUCAUUUUCACCUGCUUGCCAGCACUAAGCCCUUUUCAUCCAUAAAACACAUACUCUCAUCCACAG